AGUCUUCCUGCAGCAAUAUUUAAUUUGUUAAGAGGGGAGGUCGGGAAAUGGAUUGCUUUCAUUGCAGUGGUGCUCAGGCUUUUCUUUCCUCGACACUUCCCAGAUUUAUGAUCUGAUUAUGAUGAACCAGUUAAACAAGAACACAAAACAGAGAGAAAAAAUGGGUGUUAUUUCAUCAUCACCAUCACUGCAGGAGAAAGAAGGAAGAAAGCCGAUCACAGAGCAGAGAGAAGAGAGAAGAGAGGAUUUGGGUUUAAUUGGGAGCGAAAGUGACAUCACAGAACUGAAGAAAAUGGGUCUUUGUUUAGUUUCUUUGUCUAUGGUUGUGAAUUAUUUUGGUUGAGUUUUAGAUUUUGUUUCUUUCUGUCUCUCCAUCCAUCCAUGGAUUUAUUGAUGGAACAUUGAAAAUGGCUUUCUGCAGAAAAAAAAAAAAUUGUAUAUAUAAUAAGAUUAAGAUCCAUCAUUUUCUGCAGCAGCAUUUGAUAUGCAUAUGUAUAUUAAUUUCAUGCAGAACUUCUAACAUCUUUGUGGAAUUUUUAUUUAUUUAAUGGAAAUAUGAUAAUCCAAGUAAUUCUUAUGGACAGGGAAA